CGGCAGGCCUAACACAUGCAAGUCGAACGGUAACAGGAAGAAGCUUGCUUCUUUGCUGACGAGUGGCGGACGGGUGAGUAAUGUCUGGGAAACUGCCUGAUGGAGGGGGAUAACUACUGGAAACGGUAGCUAAUACCGCAUAACGUCGCAAGACCAAAGAGGGGGACCUUCGGGCCUCUUGCCAUCGGAUGUGCCCAGAUGGGAUUAGCUAGUAGGUGGGGUAACGGCUCACCUAGGCGACGAUCCCUAGCUGGUCUGAGAGGAUGACCAGCCACACUGGAACUGAGACACGGUCCAGACUCCUACGGGAGGCAGCAGUGGGGAAUAUUGCACAAUGGGCGCAAGCCUGAUGCAGCCAUGCCGCGUGUAUGAAGAAGGCCUUCGGGUUGUAAACUUCUUUUGUCGGGGACGAAACAAAUGACGGUACCUGACGAAUAAGCCACGGCUAACUACGUGCCAGCAGCCGCGGUAAUACGUAGGUGGCAAGCGUUAUCCGGAUUUACUGGGUGUAAAGGGAGCGUAGACGGCAUGGCAAGCCAGAUGUGAAAGCCCGGGGCUCAACCCCGGGACUGCAUUUGGAACUGUCAGGCU
rnacentral:rRNA from 1 species